rnacentral:rRNA from 1 species
AUUGAACGCUGGCGGCAUGCCUUACACAUGCAAGUCGAACGGUAACGGGCCUUCGGGUGCCGACGAGUGGCGAACGGGUGAGUAAUACAUCGGAACGUGCCCGAUCGUGGGGGAUAACGAGGCGAAAGCUUUGCUAAUACCGCAUACGAUCUACGGAUGAAAGCAGGGGACCGCAAGGCCUUGCGCGGACGGAGCGGCCGUUGGCAGAUUGGGUGGUUGGUGGGAUAAAAGCUUACCAAGCCGACGAUCUGUAGCUGGUCUGGGAGGAUGAUCGGCCACACUGGGACUGGGCCCCGCCCCAGCCUCCUAGGGAGGGCACCAGUGGGAAAUUUUGGCCACUGGGGGCAAGCUUGAUCAAGCCAGGCGGCGUGCGGGAUAAGGGCCUUCGGGUUGUAAACUGCUUUUUUAGGGAAGAAAAAGCUUUCUUUUAAUACGGGGGGUUAAGAACGGUACCGUAGAAUAAGCACCGGCUAACUACGUG